AGAGAGGUGGCCGAGCGGUCGAAGGCGCACGCCUGGAAAGCGUGUAUACUCCAAAAGGGUAUCGAGGGUUCGAAUCCCUUCCUCUCUGCAA
rnacentral:tRNA from 1 species